rnacentral:rRNA from 1 species
UUAGAGUUUGAUCCUGGCUCAAGAUGAACUCUGGCGGCGUGCUUAACACAUGCAAGUCGAACGGGAUCCAUCAGGCUUUGCUUGGUGGUGAGAGUGGCGAACGGGUGAGUAAUGCGUGACCGACCUGCCCCAUACACCGGAAUAGCUCCUGGAAUCGGGUGGUAAUGCCGGAUGCUCCGACUCCUCGCAUGGGGUGUCGGGAAAGAUUCAUCGGUAUGGGAUGGGGUCGCGUCCUAUCAGGUAGUCGGCCGGGGUAACGGCCCACCGAGCCUACGACGGGUAGCCGGCCUGAGAGGGCGACCGGCCACAUUGGGACUGAGAUACCGCCCAGACUCCUACGGGAGGCAGCAGUGGGGAAUAUUGCACAAUGGGCGCAAGCCUGAUGCAGCGACGCCGCGUGCGGGAUGACGGCCUUCGGGUUGUAAACCGCUUUUGAUCGGGAGCAAGCCUUCGGGUGAGUGUACCUUUCGAAUAAGCACCGGCUAACUACGUGCCAGCAGCCGCGGUAAUACGUAGGGUGCAAGCGUUAUCCGGAAUUAUUGGGCGUAAAGGGCUCGUAGGCGGUUCGUCGCGUCCGGUGUGAAAGUCCAUCGCUUAACGGUGGAUCUGCGCCGGGUACGGGCGGGCUGGAGUGCGGUAGGGGAGACUGGAAUUCCCGGUGUAACGGUGGAAUGUGUAGAUAUCGGGAAGAACACCAAUGGCGAAGGCAGGUCUCUGGGCCGUUACUGACGCUGAGGAGCGAAAGCGUGGGGAGCGAACAAAAUUAGAUACCCUGGUAGUCCACGCCGUAAACGGUGGAUGCUGGAUGUGGGGCCCGUUCCACGGGUUCCGUGUCGGAGCUAACGCGUUAAGCAUCCCGCCUGGGGAGUACGGCCGCAAGGCUAAAACUCAAAGAAAUUGACGGGGGCCCGCACAAGCGGCGGAGCAUGCGGAUUAAUUCGAUGCAACGCGAAGAACCUUACCUGGGCUUGACAUGUUCCCGACAGCCGUAGAGAUAUGGCCUCCCUUCGGGGCGGGUUCACAGGUGGUGCAUGGUCGUCGUCAGCUCGUGUCGUGAGAUGUUGGGUUAAGUCCCGCAACGAGCGCAACCCUCGCCCUGUGUUGCCAGCACGUCAUGGUGGGAACUCACGGGGGACCGCCGGGGUCAACUCGGAGGAAGGUGGGGAUGACGUCAGAUCAUCAUGCCCCUUACGUCCAGGGCUUCACGCAUGCUACAAUGGCCGGUACAACGGGAUGCGACACGGCGACGUGGAGCGGAUCCCUGAAAACCGGUCUCAGUUCGGAUUGGAGUCUGCAACCCGACUCCAUGAAGGCGGAGUCGCUAGUAAUCGCGGAUCAGCAACGCCGCGGUGAAUGCGUUCCCGGGCCUUGCAC